rnacentral:rRNA from 1 species
UACAGAGGGUGCAAGCGUUAAUCGGAAUUAUUGGGCGUAAAGGGUGUGUAGGUUGUUUAGUAAGUUAACUGUAAAAUCCCAGAGCUCAACUUUGGAUAUAUAUUUAAUACUACUAAUCUAGAGCAUUAUAGAGGAAAGUGGAAUUCCCAGUGUAGCAGUGAAAUGCGUAGAUAUUGGGAGGAACACCAGUGGCGAAGGCGACUUUCUGGGUGUAUGCUGACACUGAGACACGAAAGCAUGGGUAGCAAACAGG